CUAACUGACUUUUGGGGUGGCAGAGUAUGGCAAUUGCAAAAGACCUAAAACCUUGUUCUCGAGGGUUCAAAUCCCUCCCCCAAUA
rnacentral:tRNA from 1 species